rfam:Erwinia sp. EM595 isolate E_g_EM595 genome assembly, chromosome: 1
GAAUUAUUGUUUAACGCUUGUCGCUGACGAGCCUUACGGAAG